GACGAACGCUGGCGGCGUGCUUAACACAUGCAAGUCGAACGGAAAGGCCCUGCUUUUGUGGGGUGCUCGAGUGGCGAACGGGUGAGUAACACGUGAGUAACCUGCCCUUGACUUUGGGAUAACUUCAGGAAACUGGGGCUAAUACCGGAUAGGAGCUCCUGCUGCAUGGUGGGGGUUGGAAAGUUUCGGCGGUUGGGGAUGGACUCGCGGCUUAUCAGCUUGUUGGUGGGGUAGUGGCUUACCAAGGCUUUGACGGGUAGCCGGCCUGAGAGGGUGACCGGCCACAUUGGGACUGAGAUACGGCCCAGACUCCUACGGGAGGCAGCAGUGGGGAAUAUUGCACAAUGGGCGGAAGCCUGAUGCAGCAACGCCGCGUGCGGGACGACGGCCUUCGGGCUGUAAACCGCUUUCGCCUGUGACGAAGCGUGAGUGACGGUAAUGGGUAAAGAAGCACCGGCUAACUACGUG
rnacentral:rRNA from 1 species